rnacentral:misc_RNA from 1 species
UAAUACACCCCCUCUGCCGUUUGACAGAUAAGCUGUCUCUUUUGUCUCUUUCUCUUCAUUUCUCUAAGCCAAGAACUGAGUGAGAAUCCCCUAUAUUACUUACUUUUAUUCAUUUACACACAAAUCCUCAUCAUUUUUCAUCUUCAUUUGCUCUCAUUAUCAGUUUUGCAAAUGGGUUCAAGAGCUCGAAGGAAGCAAAGAUGGUGUACUCAACCAUUGACGCCACUCAUGGAAGGUCCAGACCCUGAUAUGCAAGAAGAAGGUAACAAGAAGGAGAGUUCAUGGGAAAUAAUUCGUGAAUGGUUUCGAAUGCAAAAGGGUUUCUCCGUUAACCAUUUUUCAUCAUCAGUAACACCAUAUGGGAGCAUUCCAGCCAAUAAAAAGCAAGAUUUGAGGCUUUUGCUUGGAGUCCUUGGCUGCCCACUAGCUCCGAUCCCUCUAGUCAGUGACCCCAUUCACCACCUUCACAUUAAGGACAUCCCCAUGGAAAAUUCAAUCGCACAUUAUAUCAUUCAACAGUACUUGGCGGCCACAGGAUGUUUAAAGAGACAAAAAUGCGUAAAGAACAUGUAUGCGACAGGGAGUGUGAAGAUGAUACGUUGCGAGACAGAGAUUUUAUCAGGAAAGAAUGUGAAGAGCUUAGGGACAAGAAGCGGAGAAAAUGGGUGUUUUGUUCUUUGGCAAAUGAUGCCGGGAAUGUGGUCUCUUGAAUUGGUUGUUGGAGGAAAUAAGGUUAUCGCCGGCAGCGAUGGAAAGACCGUCUGGCGCCACACUCCUUGGCUUGGUACUCACGCAGCAAAGGGACCUCAACGCCCUUUACGUCGCAUAAUCCAGGGCCUAGAUCCAAAGAGCACAGCCAGCUUAUUUGCAAAAGCACAAUGCUUAGGAGAGAAACGAAUAGGUGAAGAUGAUUGCUUUGUAUUAAAAGUAGCAGCAGAUAAAGCAGCUGUAAUGGAAAGAAGUGAAGGAGCAGCAGAAGUACUUAGGCAUGUACUGUAUGGUUAUUUUUGCCAGAAAAGUGGACUCCUAAUAUACCUAGAGGACUCUCAUCUCACCAGGGUACAAACCCCAGAAAAUGAUACCAUCUACUGGGAAACUACAAUAGGAAGUAGCAUUGCAGAUUACAGAGAUGUUGAUGGAGUUCUCAUUGCUCAUCAAGGCCGAUCAAUCGCUACGGUUUUUCGAUUCGAAGAAGAAUCUGUGCAGCAUAGUAGAACUAGAAUGGAAGAAAUCUGGAUGAUUGAUGAUGUUGUGUUUAAUGUUCCUGGACUUUCCUUAGACUCUUUCAUCCCUCCUGCUGAUAUCUUUGACGCUAAUUCUCCUAUUAAUUAACUCAUCACAUUAAUUAAUUCUCUCUUUUCUUCUAAUACACUAUAAUUGGUGGGGUUUUGGUGUAUUUAAUUUCAUCUGUAGUAUGUAGCCAGCAAGUCAUCAAAAAUCAAAAUGUCCAAUUCAAACUUGAGAUGGAGUAAGGC